AUCAAAUAGCAUAAGACAACGAUUAGAUGAUAGAGAUUA
rnacentral:guide_RNA from 1 species